rnacentral:rRNA from 1 species
AGAGUUUGAUCCUGGCUCAGAAUCAACGCUGGCGGCGCGCUUAACACAUGCAAGUCGAACGAGAAAGGGGAGCAAUCCCUGAGUAAAGUGGCGUACGGGUGAGUAACACGUGGGUAAUCUACCUCUGGGUGGGGAAUAACCCUGGGAAACCGGGGCUAAUACCGCAUAACACUGAAAGGUCAAAGGCGCAAGUCGCCUGGAGAGGAGCCCGCGGCUGAUUAGCUAGUUGGUGGGGUAAAGGCUCACCAAGGCGAAGAUCGGUAGCCGGCCUGAGAGGGCACACGGCCACACUGGCACUGAGACACGGGCCAGACUCCUACGGGAGGCAGCAGUGGGGAAUCUUGCACAAUGGGGGAAACCCUGAUGCAGCGACGCCGCGUGAACGAUGAAGCCCUUCGGGGUGUAAAGUUCUUUCGGCAGGAACGAUAAUGACGGUACCUGAAGAAGAG